UACGUAGGGUGCGAGCGUUGUCCGGAAUUAUUGGGCGUAAAGAGCUUGUAGGCGGUUUGUCGCGUCUGCUGUGAAAAUCCGGGGCUCAACCCGGACUUGCAGUGGGUACGGGCAGGCUAGAGUGUGGUAGGGGAGACUGGAAUUCCUGGUGUAGCGGUGGAAUGCGCAGAUAUCAGGAGGAACACCGGUGGCGAAGGCGGGUCUCUGGGCAGUAACUGACGCUGGAGGAGCGAAAGCGUGGGGAGCGAACAGG
rnacentral:rRNA from 1 species